UGUUUAUGUUUAACAUAUAACUUUAAAGCUAUAAGUACCUAUAUUUUGAAUAUGAAACCUCACAGCAUACCUAUGUAUGUGUGGUAUGAUAAGUUGAUAACUGUAAAGAGUGAAGACCAAAGAGAAGAGUUUGUAUCAUGGGUUUGUAUAGAUUGUUUAUGUUCAACAAUGACUGGUCAUUACUAGUUGACGAUGAAAAUAACAACUAGAAUCAAAUGAAAUAAUGAAUAAGGAUACAUAAUACAAAUAUUUAAUUUGUUGCAGUUCUAACAAUAUAAAAUAAUCAACGUUUGACACAUAUCUGAUAGACCAGAGGCAGACCCAUGGAAAAACAUUUUUUAUCAAUUUAUUUAAUUGGUCAUAACUUUUAUGCGUUUAAAAAAGCAAAAAACUUUGAUGUGGUUGUUUAUAAAUUAUUAAAAUGAAAGUUGUUUUUCAUGUACAUUUUUGAUUACGAGGAAUGGAACGACAUGUUUAUGUCAAAUUAUUACCUAUCUGUCGCUUUCGUACUCAUUGUCUUUGGUCGCUUGUUAGGUAUUCUUGGUAUUCAAGUUCUGUUAAAACUUCAGGUGCAGGUUAUUUUUUAAUAAAGUUAAAAUUUAAUCGAA